rnacentral:rRNA from 1 species
UACGGGGGAGCAAGCGUGUUCGGAUUUACUGGGCGUAAAGGGCGCGUAGGCGGUCAGCACAAGUCAGUUGUGAAAUCUCCGGGCUUAAACUCGGAAAGGUCAACUGAUACUGUGCGACUAGAGUGCGGAAGGGGCACUGGAAUCUCGGUGUAGCGGUGAAAUGCGUAGAGAUGUGGAGGAAUACCGAUGGCGAAGGCAGCCCCCUGGGCCAUACUGACCGCUCUGACUACGAAAAGCGUGGGGAGCAAACAGG